GACGAACGCUGGCGGCGUGCUUAACACAUGCAAGUCGAACGAAGAGCGACGGGAGCUUGCUUCUAUCAAUCUUAGUGGCGAACGGGUGAGUAACGCGUAAUCAACCUGCCCUUCAGAGGGGGACAACAGUUGGAAACGACUGCUAAUACCGCAUACGAUCUAACCUCGGCAUCGAGGAUAGAUGAAAGGUGGCCUCUACAUGUAAGCUAUCACUGAAGGAGGGGAUUGCGUCUGAUUAGCUAGUUGGAGGGGUAACGGCCCACCAAGGCGAUGAUCAGUAGCCGGUCUGAGAGGAUGAACGGCCACAUUGGGACUGAGACACGGCCCAGACUCCUACGGGAGGCAGCAGUGGGGAAUCUUCCGCAAUGGACGAAAGUCUGACGGAGCAACGCCGCGUGAGUGAUGACGGCCUUCGGGUUGUAAAGCUCUGUUAAUCGGGACGAAAGGCCUUCUUGCGAAUAGUGAGAAGGAUUGACGGUACCGGAAUAGAAAGCCACGGCUAACUACGUG
rnacentral:rRNA from 1 species